AGACAUAAAUCAGUUUCAAAUUUCGACUUGAAUUGAAUAAUUUAGUGGGACCAAUUUUGUUCGGGUGUGGAAAAUUGAGUCGACAAAUUUUCCGCACCCGCACGAUGCAAAUUUAUCUACGCCUUAUUACUACAGAAAGUCCAAAUCAACAAAUGCUUGCUUGAAAAUCAUACUCGGACGGGAGACCCAAACAGUUAACGAAGAAAAAAUCUUUGCAGCUGCGGCAACAACAGAAAAAAAGUUGCUGCUCUGAACUGCUAACCGGCUUUAUUUUCAUGUAAUUAGUGUGCAGCCAACAAUUAGCGUCAAUUAAGCAACACCCUAGAAUGCCUCCCUCCAAAGGGGGCAUCAUCCGACCGAUCGAACCUUUGUGGAGGCGAAUUUCUUGUCAAAAAUUCCGAAGAAACCAACGAGACCCAAAUUUUUUUCUGCAACGAGUACGACAUUUUGGAAACGGUUAUUCACAACGUCUUUAUUCAAAAAUACGGCAUACUUUUUGUGACUUGUGCACGCAGUUUAAGCUCUUUGGAUUGGUUUAAACAUGACGCGCGUGAUCAAGUAUUUCCUCAAAUUCUACAGUCGAUUUCAAAAUUUCCGUUUUAGGGAUUUCAGUUGAGAGUAGUCAAAAGUGACGAAUUCUAGAUCGAUAUUUUAAAUUUUUUACGUACAUUUAUCAACUUUAGGCCGCGAAUACUUGUCUGGUGGAAUGUUUUUCUAUUUUUUCAUUUAAAAAAAUUACUUUUCCAAAAGCUUUUGUGGGGGGAUUGCGUGCGCCCCUGAAGUCUGCUGCAUUAUUCGACGAAACUGUUAAUGGACGUGAUCUAAUAUGCGAUUUGAUAGUAUGAAGUAUACGAGAUUAGAGGAUUUAGAGAUAUAAUGUUAGCACUGAGAAUAGCGAAUUUCUUUAAGAGAUAUAUAUAUAAAUAUUAUUAACGGGUUAAUGAAUAUUUCAUUUUUCUAGAAUUAAAAUGAAACUAGCAAAAGAUAAAAUUCCGAUUGAAAUUCGGUGUAGCUUAGAAUAUCGUUUGGCAGUUAUAAAGCCAAUGUCAGUUUCGGGUAGCAAUAAAAAAAUAGCAAAAAAGAUAACUUGAAAAUAUAAAACAUAUUUUUAUAUUUUA